rnacentral:sRNA from 1 species
AUAUCAUUUUGAGGAAUUCUAACAGCAGUUUCUAUUGGUAGUGUAAGUUGGGCAAAGUGUUUUAUUUUUUUAAGUAUUUCAAAGUAAAAUUACAUGUUAAUACGUAGUAUUAAUGGCGAG